rnacentral:lncRNA from 1 species
UCAGGAGUAUCAGCGAAACAAUGACACAAAUAACGAUGUAUCUGUUACACUUUACUGUCCGGUUUUCUGGCUUGGUUAUUUUACAUAUCCAGGACAGCUGAUGAAAACCUCAACUGCACACUGCUUUAAUUCUACUGUUUCUGUAACAGCUGACUUUUUAACUGUAAGGCUGUGCAAGCUGAGCUUUCACUACAUACCUCUGUAGGUAUUCCUGAGCCACCACUCUCGUUCAGUCUGCGCUGCCCUGCCUCCCUCCAGUUUCCAUGGCCUGAGAUGCAGUCUCCAAACUACAUCGCUUACAAGAAAGCUUCAAACUUUCAGGUUCCAAGUACCUGCCUCUGCUACUUACAAACCUUAAAAGAUUUCAGCCCAAAUUCUGAUCGGUUCCCAUGCUUAAAUUCUGUAUUGUAAUAGGUGCUAAAAGCAGAGGCUGCAUCUGGAAAGCAACAGGCAGCUUGUGUACCCAUAUCUAACUGUACAGGUACAGAUGCUAUGCCAAGACACAAAUUAAGUCAUCUGGGGAUAUUCUGGUUGUUUCACUGUCGAACUGUGCAGCUGUAUGCCCCUCCUACUGACAGCCAUCCUCUCCCUCUUUCCUACUCAUGCUCACACAUGGUGAGCUUCAAACACCCUGCCAUAAAUCAUUUUCCAUAUUCUUUGAGGUAUCUGCUUCCUUCCUUUUCUCAAAUACAAAUGGCAAAGGAUUGACAAUAAUCUGGGAAAAAGAAAAAGAUAAUGUAGCCCACAUUUGUUUUAAAUUUAUUUCACAUUAUUUUGUAAUGUUUUAAGCCCCAUAUGGAACAAUGAGAAGGACAUCUGAAGGAAUUUUCAUCUCAGAUCUGAGUUGCUGCACUACAACCAUGUUAUUCUUCCCUUCUGUUUGCUACAGUAAUUGUUAGGCACCUCAUCCUAUUAAAAUCCCCUCUGCCCAAGGGCCCUUAAUCCCAGGAAGACAUAUACACAGUUUAUGCCCUUCUCAUUUCAGUUGGCAUACUUCUCAUAUUAUUUCUUCAUAGGCCAGAAGUCUGAAGCUUACAGAUCUGUCUGUGCGUUCUCCAGUUCACAAGAUCCUUAUGUGCUGCAAUCAACUUUUUCUUCUUAACCAUCUUCAAUCAAGUAAGUAUUUCACAUCUUCAUUCGUAACUCUACUAUUUGCAUUUUCAUGGUUUGGCUUAUACCAAUUCAUCCAGCUUCUACUGAUGUUAAUCACCAUGCUAUUUUUAAAUGUUGUGCAACAAGGUGAUUUUUAUGUUUUCCUUUAGCAAAGCGCAUUUGUAUUUUCCAUCUACUUUAUCGAAGUGAUCACAAGCAACUAGUUUUCCUGCUUUUGGAAUGAUCUUAGUAAAAUUAAGCCCUGGAUGGGAAGACAUUUGACAGAAAUUUGUAAACUUUUUUUUUUUUUUUUGUAUAUAAAAUGCUGCUGUAACAUUUGCUUUUCUUUUCUUGUUCUUUAUUUAUUGCAGUCUUUGACAUCUGUCCUUG